rnacentral:rRNA from 1 species
AUGCAGGUGCUUGGAUUCAUUCAGAUUGUUCCUUCCCUUCGUCUUUUGCUUUCUCAGUGCAACUCUAGUAGAUACGCUAUAACCUCGUCGGCCCACAUAAUUCAUGUCGAUAGCGUUUUUUGUAGCUCGAACAGGUCUGUUAUAUCUAGGUUGACCCGUAAAAAUAUACAAGCGGCCCACAAAACCGUUGUUGCUCGCUAUAUCUACAUGACCGCCAGCUUUUUAGGGUUCCCCCUCUCGCAUUUCCUCCGCCGCAAUCCACCUCCUCCCUUCCUAUCUCAGGUGAGCAAUUCUGCCAGAUGUAGUUUCUUUUCCUGGUGA